UACGUAGGGUGCGAGCGUUGUCCGGAAUUAUUGGGCGUAAAGGGCUCGUAGGCGGUUUGUCGCGUCGGGAGUGAAAACACCGGGCUUAACUCGGUGCUGGCUUCCGAUACGGGCGGACUAGAGGUAUUCAGGGGAGAACGGAAUUCCUGGUGUAGCGGUGAAAUGCGCAGAUAUCAGGAGGAACACCGGUGGCGAAGGCGGUUCUCUGGGAAUUACCUGACGCUGAGGAGCGAAAGUGUGGGGAGCGAACAGG
rnacentral:rRNA from 1 species